CCUACGGGUGGCAGCAGUGGGGAAUAUUGCACAAUGGGGGAAACCCUGAUGCAGCGACGCCGCGUGAGUGAAGAAGUAUUUCGGUAUGUAAAGCUCUAUCAGCAGGGAAGAAAAUGACGGUACCUGAUUAAGAAGCCCCGGCUAACUACGUGCCAGCAGCCGCGGUAAUACGUAGGGGGCAAGCGUUAUCCGGAUUUACUGGGGGUAAAGGGAGCGCAGGCGGAAGAUCAAGUCAGCGGUAAAAUUGAGGGGCUCAACCUCUUCGAGCCGUUGAAACUGGUUUUCUUGAGUGAGUGAGAAGUAUGCGGAAUGCGUGGUGUAGCGGUGAAAUGCAUAGAUAUCACGCAGAACUCCGAUUGCGAAGGCAGCAUACCGGCGCUCAACUGACGCUCAUGCACGAAAGUGUGGGUAUCGAACAGGAUUAGAUACCCGGGUAGUC
rnacentral:rRNA from 1 species